UGGGGAAUAUUGCACAAUGGGCGCAAGCCUGAUGCAGCCAUGCCGCGAGUGUGAAGAAGGCCUUCGGUUUGUAAAGCACUUUCAGAGGGGAGGAAGGCGAUAAGGUUAAUAACCUCAUCGAUUGACGUUACCCGCAGAAGAAGCACCGGCUAACUCUGUGCCAGCAGCCGCGGUAAUACGGAGGGUGCAAGCGUUAAUCGGAAUUACUGGGCGUAAAGCGCACGCAGGCGGUCUGUCAAGUCGGAUGUGAAAUCCCCGGGCUCAACCUGGGAGCUGCAUUCGAAACUGGCAGGCUAGAGUCUUGUAGAGGGGGGUAGAAUUCCAGGUGUAGCGAUGAAAUGCGUAGAGAUCUGGAGGAAUACCGGUGGCGAAGGCGGCCCCCUGGACAAAGACUGACGCUCAGGUGCGAAAGCGUGGGGAGCAAACAGG
rnacentral:rRNA from 1 species